rfam:Chryseobacterium sp. IHB B 10212 strain IHBB 10212, complete genome.
CCCUAGCCCCGAUUGAAACGGCAUCCUUUUUUGCAAUGGCAAAAGAAUUGGCAAAAAAGAUAUAGUGGAAAGCGGGAAAUUGC